AUUGAACGCUGGCGGCAUGCCUUACACAUGCAAGUCGAACGGUAACAGGGAGCUUGCUCCGCUGACGAGUGGCGAACGGGUGAGUAAUGUAUCGGAACGUACCAUUCAGUGGGGGAUAACGUAGCGAAAGUUACGCUAAUACCGCAUAUUCUGUGAGCAGGAAAGCAGGGGAUCGCAAGACCUUGCGCUGAUUGAGCGGCCGAUAUCAGAUUAGCUAGUUGGUGAGGUAAAGGCUCACCAAGGCGACGGAUCUGUAGCGGGUCUGAGAGGAUGAUCCGCCACACUGGAACUGAGACACGGUCCAGACUCCUACGGGAGGCAGCAGUGGGGAAUUUUGGACAAUGGGCGCAAGCCUGAUCCAGCAAUGCCGCGUGCAGGAUGAAGGCCUCGGGUUGUAAACUGCUUUUGUACGGUAGCGAAAAGGCUCUCUCUAAUACGGGGAGUUCAUGACGGUACCGUAAGAAUAAGCACCGGCUAACU
rnacentral:rRNA from 1 species